GGUAAGAGCUCAGAUUUGAAAGGCACUUGUGCCGUUGUAUUCUGAAGUUAGGAUUCUCGAAAACGACACCUAAGUUUUCUGGAAAGGAAUGCCACAGAGGGUGAUAGCCCCGUACGGUGUUGACUCGAUACAGAGUCCUAACAUGGAGUCGAGUUGUUUGGGAAUGCAGCUCAAAUGGGUGGUAUGCUCCAUCUAAGGCUAAAUAUUUGCGAGAGACCGAUAGCGAACAAGUACUGUGAAGGAAAGAUGAAAAGAACUUUGAAAAGAGAGUGAAAUAGUACGUGAAAUUGUUGAAAUGGAAGGGUAGGCCGCUAACCAUGUAGGACCGUGUUUGGGGGGAAGAUAAAUGCUGUAGAAUGUGGCUCCUCGGAGUGUUAUAGCUA
rnacentral:rRNA from 1 species